rnacentral:rRNA from 1 species
AUGGGGCUGCAGGACACGGGCAGCAGCCGGAGGAGCAGCUUCUUCCAGUACCAGAGGCUGGAAUGCCGGGACGACGGGGCCACCCCGCGGCCCAGGCAGCGGCGGUGGCUGCCGUCUCUGAACGGCAAGGCGGCCUGCUCCUGCUUCUUCCAUCUCAAGAAGCUCAGGUGGAGCAGGAUCACUUCGGUCCUCCUGCCAAGGAAGGUCUCCGAGCCCUCCUCCAAGAUCCGCCAUGCAAGCGUGGCGCACGCCGAGGAUGCCUGCCCGAGCAUCGUCUUCUUGUCGCAGUGGGGGCUGCCGGUGCUCUCCGGCCCGUCGGUGGGCGGUAACAGGGGCAAGUACCCCCGUGGGAAGGGCUACUGA